UUGUUGUUGUUGUUGUUGUUGUUGUUGUUGUUGUUGUUGUUGCUGUUGUUGUUGUUGUCGUUGCUAUUGUUGUUGACGUUGUUGUCGAUGUUGUUGUUGUUGUUAUCAUAAUUGUCGUUGUUCUCGUUGUUGUUGUCAUUCUCUUCGUCGUCGUCGUUGUUGCUGUUCUUGUUGUUGUGGUUGUUGUUGUUGUUCUUCUUCUUCUUGUUGUGGUUGUUGUUGUUGUGGUUGUUGUUGUUGUUCUUCUUCUUCUUCUUCUUCUUGUUGUUGUUGUGGUUGUUGUUGUUGUUG
rnacentral:lncRNA from 1 species